rnacentral:rRNA from 1 species
CCUACGGGAGGCAGCAGUGAGGAAUAUUGGUCAAUGGACGAGAGUCUGAACCAGCCAAGUAGCGUGAAGGAUGACUGCCCUAUGGGUUGUAAACUUCUUUUAUAUGGGAAUAAAGUGUUCCACGUGUGGGCUUUUGUAUGUACCAUAUGAAUAAGGAUCGGCUAACUCCGUGCCAGCAGCCGCGGUAAUACGGAGGAUCCGAGCGUUAUCCGGAUUUAUUGGGUUUAAAGGGAGCGUAGGUGGGUUGUUAAGUCAGUUGUGAAAGUUUGCGGCUCAACCGGAAAAUUGCAGUUGAAACUGGCAGUCUGGAGUACAGUAGAGGUGGGCGGAAUGCGGGGUGUAGCGGUGAAAUGCUUAGAUAUCACGAAGAACUCCGAUUGCGAAGGCAGUACGCUGGACUGCAACUGACACUGAGGCUCGAAAGUGUGGGUAUCAAACAGGAUUAGAUACCCCGGUAGUC